UGGCUCAGGACGAACGCUGGCGGUAUGCUUAACACAUGCAAGUCGAACGAGAAGGAAGAGCUUGCUCUUCCUGAAAGUGGCGAACGGGUGAGUAACGCGUGGGUAACCUACCCUUUGGAAAGGAAUAGCCUCGGGAAACUGGGAGUAAUGCCUUAUAAGAUACGUUUGUCGCAUGGCAUUUGUAUUAAACGCUCCGGCGCCAUAGGAUGGACCCGCGUCCCAUUAGCUAGUUGGUGAGAUAACAGCUCACCAAGGCCACGAUGGGUAACCGGUCUGAGAGGGCGAACGGUCACACUGGAACUGAGACACGGUCCAGACUCCUACGGGAGGCAGCAGUGGGGAAUAUUGCGCAAUGGGGGCAACCCUGACGCAGCAAUACCGCGUGAGUGAAGAAGGUUUUCGGAUCGUAAAGCUCUGUUAUUGGGGAAGAAAAAAAGACGGUACCCAAGAAGAAAGUUCCGGCUAACUACGUGCCAGCAGCCGCGGUAAUACGUAGGGAACAAGCGUUGUCCGGAUUUACUGGGCGUAAAGGGCACGCAGGCGGUUUUUUAAGUCAGAUGUGAAAGGCCACAGCUCAACUGUGGACAUGCAUUUGAAACUGAAAGACUUGAGUAUUGGAGAGGCAAGUGGAAUUCCUAGUGUAGCGGUGAAAUGCGUAGAUAUUAGGAGGAACACCGGUGGCGAAGGCGGCUUGCUGGACAAAUACUGACGCUGA
rnacentral:rRNA from 1 species